rnacentral:rRNA from 1 species
UACGUAGGGGGCAAGCGUUGUCCGGAUUUAUUGGGCGUAAAGAGCGUGUAGGCGGCCAUGCAGGUCCGUUGUGAAAACUCGAGGCUCAACCUCGAGACGCCGAUAGAAACCGCAUGGCUAGAGUCCGGAAGAGGAGAGUGGAAUUCCUGGUGUAGCGGUGAAAUGCGCAGAUAUCAGGAAGAACACCCGUGGCUAAGGCGGCUCUCUAGUACGGUACUGACGCUGAGACGCGAAAGCGUGGGGAGCGAACAGG